rnacentral:misc_RNA from 1 species
ACGAUGCGCCAGCUCAACGGAACGAGUGUUUUAGGCUCAUCGCUUCACCAGUCACCACCCCGACAGAGACCGCCACCGUCAAGCAUGUUGGGUGCACCGAGUCCGGCAGCAGGCGAAUUCAGACGCCGUCUUGCACAGCUUCCGGGGGUGACGGGCGGACUAGGCAGCAGAGACACUAACGGGCCGAAGAUCCUGGCAGCCCUCUCCGCGCCGAGGGGCAGCACCAUCCGCGAGAACCCUCAAAGAGCUCUGAAGGCAGGGCUGCCCGUCGGGUGGCCGGUAGAGGGACAAGACAAUGAGGUGCUCACAGGGGUGGAAGCUUGCCACGCGGGAAGACGACGCCCACGGAACUCCAUUUUCUUCUGCUAGAGUGCACGCCAAUACAGCUGUGUUGCACGUGCACGCAACUGGCAGUGUAUCCGCUUGAUUGCCCUGAUCAUGUGCAUACGAUGCACACGAAAAGCAUGCACCCAGCCGACACACCGUCCCCAGGAACUUUUGGGUAUUGAAGCGGAAAGACUGAUCCUUCGUUAUCAAACUCAGGGUGUGGCCCCUCCUUUCCACUCAGCUGUGCCGCACCGAGGCUCGCGGGCUGGAACUCGCGGUAGCGCUGGCUGUGUGGGGAGAGGGGGGUUCGAGGCUGUAGCGCCAUAGCAAAAAGAAGUGUGCCGAACGAGACGUGGAUGGACGACAUGUAUGCGAGUGCUACGGGAGUGGCGAGCGAGUCGCUGAAGGACGCACGAGCAGCAGCAGCAACAGCAGCGGGGCGCGCACGUUCUCUUCCCCGGCUUCCCCGCGGUAAACUGGGUCGAGGCGAAACGACGCGAAAAGAGGAAUGCCGCGCCAAGGGGCAACACAAGUCGUGAACUCAGUCAGCGAAACACACGAAAACAAAGGAAACGAGCGUGUGCGAGUUGUUCGAAGGUUUGCCCUUUUCGUGGUUUAUCUCGAGGUCAUGUUUUGGCUGGGUGAGUGGUGCCGUUGAGGGUGCUGGCACCCCAUCACCACCACGACCACCACCGCCUGUUUCUCGCACACUACGUCGCUGUCUUACUCAUGCAUCGCCUCUCAGCUCACGCCUCCUCUCCUUCAGUUUGCGUCGCUUUCCGUUUCCCAACCACUCCCUCGUACCCCCACCCGCCCGUCUUUCUCCUUUUCUCCAUACCUUGCCAAUUGGCCAG